rnacentral:rRNA from 1 species
AGAGUUUGAUCCUGGCUCAGAAUUAACGCUGGCAGAGUGCAUAACACAUGCAAAGUCGAGCGAGACUAGUAGCAAUAUUAGUCUAGCGGGCAGACGAGUGAGUAACACGUAAACAAUCUACCCUUGAAAUGGCGAAAUAACCAAAUCGAAAAGGCUGGCUAAAUACGCCGUACUCUCCCUUGAAAGGCAUCUUUCGAGGGGAGGGAGAGAUCCGCAAGGGAUCGUUUCUUGGGAGGGAGUUUUGCGGCCCCAUUCAGCUAGUUGGGCGGGUGUAAAUAGACCCACCCAAGGGCUACGACGGGUACCCGGCCUGAAAGGGGCGGGACGGGGCACGAAGGGCACUGAGACACGGCCAUACUCUACGGGAGGCAGCAGUGGGAAUUUGGACAAUGGCGAAAGCUGAUCCAGCAAACUUGCGUGAGGGACGAAGGUUUUCGGAUUGUAAAACUUUUUUACAUGGGAAGAAUGGCAGCAAUGCCCUGACGGUACCAUGUGAAUUAGCCACGGGCUAACUUGUGCCCAGCGCCCGCGGUAAAACAUAGGUGCCAGCGUUGUUCGGAAUUAUUUGGCGUUAAGCGCGGUUUAGGCGUUUGAUUAGUUCGGUUUUUAAGCCCUGGGCCCUACCUGGAUUGCUCGGAUACUGGCCACCUUGAGUACGGUAGGGAUACGGAUUCCCGGUGUAGCGGGAAAUCCGUAGAUAUCGGAGGAACCCUAUGGCGAAGGCGGCUACCUGACCUUUACUACGCUAGACGCGAAAGCGGGGAGCAAACAGGAUUAGAACCCGGAUCC